CCCGAUUUAUAUUUUCGAUCCAUACGAAUUGGACCAAAAUAAAUCCUCUACCCAACCUUCAUCAUUUGCCAUGGCACCAACCCGUCUAGUUGUUUGGGCCUCACCUGCAGUUAUCCCAUCGAAGGACGCUUGUUCAAAGAACCAAGCCUAGGAGUUCAGAGGAAGGCUCACAUGCUUGCAUUCAAAAGGGGUCCGCUUAAGAUCCCUCGCUGCCUUCUUACACUCCUCUACUGGCCGUUCUUGCCACUCCCAUGACUUCCACACAUGCUUUUGUUGAUCUAUCAUCCUACAAACACCAGCCGGAAUGUUUGUGUUUCUUUAGACUGAAUGCUAAAUAUCUAAAAAUAUGAAACCAGACAGUAAAUUUGAGCCAAUUGUAGAAACUCAAAAUGCAGAGUAGCAGGAUGUUGUUACCUCAUUUUUGCUCACCAAUUGAUAUUCUC
rnacentral:lncRNA from 1 species